CCACCAGACCCUGGGCUGGGCUGGGCGGGGCGGCUGGGCCGUGACCCUUCCCCAGUGCCCUCCUUACCUCUUCCUGCCAGUCUU
rnacentral:miRNA from 1 species